AAACAAAAAAAAUGAACCCAAUUAAAAGAAAGAAUUAUUAAACGACAUUUUCUCCUUCUUCCUGCGUUUCCUCCCUUGCUUGUUGAGCUCUCAUCCAUGGUGGAAAAGCCGGAAAAACCUCUCAAAAUCAAUUGAUCCUCCUAAGUUCUUAGUAAAGGAACCGCGCUGGCUAAUUUGACGCAAUCACUCGUCAAUUAUUGAGGCAUUUACUAGGGCAUUUGCACCAUAACUUGUUCUGCGACUUCAGACUCACAACCAGGAUGCACGAGUGCAGGGUCAAGAGUAUCAGGCCUGGAAAACACCCAUCACAAAGAACACGAUAAUUAAGACUUUAUCAUUCAAAAUCUAGGAUAAUAUAAUAGGUGUAGAAAUACAUUAAACUGGUGCACCCAUCGUUAGGAUGCUCUGUGAGUUGAUUCCGAGCUGUUUUUAUUCGCUUUUUUCAGGUAUUAAUAAUACCUAUUAGCUCAACUGGUAGAUCUUUGUGCAAUUGCACAAUGGUAUAGGUUCGAAUCCUACAUAGGCAACUCUUUUGUAUUUUGUUUAUGAUAUCAAAAUGAGCAAAUUUUUUAAAACAUUUGUUCAUAUGUGUAAAAUAUCAAAUGAGCUAACUUUUUUAAAGUUAAGAAUUUAGAAUUUUAAAAAUAUUUACUCAUUUGUGUAAACUAUAAAAAAUGAGCAAGAUUUUUGAAUGUUGAGUAAUGUGAGAUUUUAAAAUAUUUGCUCAUUUAGACAUAAUGAGCAAAAGUUUUGAAUAUUAACAAAAACGAACCUUAAAAUUUUAAAAAUGAGCAAAAAUAUUUGCUCAUUUGGUUAACUAUAAGAAAUGAGCAAAAAUAUUUGCUCAUUUGUGUAAAUUAAAAAAAAUGAGCAAAUUUUUUGAAUGUUAAAUAAUCUGGAUUUUAAAAUAUUUUCUCAUUUAGACACAAUGAGCGAAAGUUUUGAAUAUUAACAAACACGAACUUUAAAAUUUUAAAAAUGAAUAAAAAUAUUUGCUCAUUUGGGAAAACUAUAAGAAAUGAGCAAAAAUAUUUGCUCAUUUGUGUAAAUUUUAAAAAAUGAGCAAAUUUUUUGAAUGUUAAAUAAUAUGAGAUUUUAAAAUAUUUUCUCAUUUAGACACAAUGAGCAAAAGUUUUGAAUAUUACAAACACGAACUUUAAAAUUUUAAAAAUGAGAAAAAAUAUUUGCUCAUUUGGUUAAACUAUAAGAAGUGUAAAUUAAAAAAAAUGAACAAAUUUUUUGAAUGUUAAAUAAUCUAGAUUUUAAAAUAUUUUCUCAUUUAGACACAAUGAGCAAAAGUUUUGAAUAUUAACAAACACGAACUUUAAAAUUUUAAAAAUGAACAAAAAUAUUUGCUCAUUUGGGUAAACUAUAAGAAAUGAGCAAAAAUAUUUGCUCAUUUGUGUAAAUUUAAAAAAAUGAGCAAAAUUUUGGAAUGUUAAAUAAUAUGAGAUUUUAAAAUAUUUUCUCAUUUAGACACAAUGAGCAAAAGUUUUGAAUAUUAACAAAUCCGAAUUUUAAAAUUUUUAAAAUGAGCAAAAAAUAUUUGCUCAUUUGUGAAAACUGUAAAAAAUGAGCAAAUUUAUUUGCUUAUUUAGACACGAUGAGCAAAAAUUUUGAAUAUUAACAAAUCCGAACUUUAAAAUUUUAAAAAUGAGCAAAAAUAUUUACUCAUUGUGUAAACUAUAAAAAAUGAGCAAAUUUAUUUUCUCAUUUAGACACGAUGAGCAAAAGUUUUCAAUAUUGACAAAUCCAAACUUUAAAUUUUUAAAAAUGAGCAAAAGUAUUUUCUCAUUUUUGUAAACUAUAAAAAAUGAUCAAAUUUAUUUGCUCAUUUAGACACGAUGAGCAAAAGUUUUCAAUAUUAACAAAUCCGAACUUUAAAAUUUUAAAAAUGAGUAAAAGUAUUUGCUCAUUUGUGUUAACUAAAAAAAUGAGCAAAUUUAUUUGCUCAUUUAGACACGAUGAGCAAAAGUUUUAAAUAUUAACAAAUCCGAACUUUAAAAUUUUAAAAAUGAGCAAAAGUAUUUACUCAUUUGUGUUAACUAUAAAAAAAUGAGCAAAUUUAUUUGCUCAUUUAGAAACGAUGAGCAAAAGUUUUCAAAAUUAACAAAUUCGAACUUUAAAUUUUAAAAAUGAGCAAAAGUAUUUGCUCAUUUGUGUAAACUAUAAAAAAUGAGAAAAUUUAUUUGCUCAUUUAGACACGAUGAGCAAAAGUUUUCAAUAUUAAAAAGUAAAGUUUAACCUACGUGGGAUUCGAACCCACAUCUUUUGUGCAUUUGCACAAUGCUCUGCCUAUUGAGCUAGUAGGCUAGUGUUUUUAAAUAGAAUCAACAAAAAGUAAAGGAUAAACCAAAAAAGAGUAAAUCAAAAUUAUUUGAAAACUUGAGCUAAUAGGCAUCAAUUGAACUAAUAGAGUAAAGAUGUUAAACACAUUCUAAUAUACACAAGUAUAUGGAGUAUUCACUAAUCUGUGAGAAAAAGGUUUGUAUUAGUAGAAGGUUAUACCUUUUUCCAAACCUGAAACGAUGUUGUUAGCACAUCAACCUGUGAGAGUCAGAACAUCAACCUGUGGUCAAAACUGGUUAAAGUAUAUCCCAGCUUGGAAUACAUUGACUUGAGUUACAAUCAACUAGGUGGUCAACUCUCACCAAACUGGGGAAAGUCCAUAAACUUGACUGCUUUGUUGGUGGUGAAAUACCAAAAGAUAUUUCUAUUGGUGGUCAACCCACAAUCGAUCUGUAUUGGAAACUUACAAAAAUAGUAUAGUGAGACAAUAUCAGUGAAGCCACCAACAACAGAAAUGAGCAAAAGGUAGGCAGCAACUCUGAGAAACAGCCUUGAAUCUUUACCUAAAGUAACAUUCCGGAAAACUAGUACCAACACGUUAAUAUUUUUGCGAGCUAGCUCUCCCACCUCAGCUACCAGUUCUUCGCUCAGAUACAUAUAUGGUAAUGGUGGAGCUGGUCUGUUGGAUGUCAACUAAUGCACUUGGUUAGCAAUUUGCUGAAACAAGUAAAUCUAAUAGCUGCUUUUAUGUUAUUGAUCAAGUACAUUGUUAUCGAGUGUGAACUCUAUCCUUAAACAUUCAGGAAGCUGUUGUAGAGUUUGCACAUUUUGGUUUAUGCAUAUGGGCCUCAAGAAUUGGGUUCCAAGGACUGUUCUCAAGAUGAUCUCAGACAGUCCGAGUCCAAAUUCUUUCUCAACAAGAUUCAUGAUUGAGCUUAAGUUGAGAUUGAAAUUUUGUCAGGUAUCUCAACAUCCGCAAUUCCACUGUAUGAUCAUGUGUUUUGCAGUCAAAUACUAUGGAAUAAGUUAUCUAAUGCAAUCAAGUUUAGGCAACUUUUGAAGUUAAUUAAAGAUUCUUUAGCAAAAUAUUAGGCCAUCACCAUCCUUAAAAACAAUGGACUAAAAAGUUAAUAUUACACAGAUAAGUAUUAGUUAAGAUGAAAUGCUUCUUCUGUUAGUGUCAGAGACACUCUUUUUGCAGGGUAUGCAGUACUUCUACUUGCGGCUUAUUGGGAUACCAAACAACAGCUUGGCCAAGUGUAAAAGAGGGUGAAAUAUGCGUGAAGAGUGUAGCAGCCUAUUGGUGAUAUAUGCUUGACUGAAUGGUCUUCUCUAAUACUUUAGACCAAUGGUUUACAACUUUGUAUAGAACUAAGAGAAGAACUAUGGUUGCUCCCGCAUCAUUGUAACAUUACAUACAAAGACCAUUUUCUUUUAUUGGCUCGCAAAAUCAAUACUAUAAAUGGUGUGUUCUAUUCAUCAAAUGAAACAUGAACUUAUCUUAA